GCGCCGAGUUUCAGCCCAUGCCGCCAUUUCGUAGGUGAACAUUGAGCAAAGAAAUGGCUUCUGCUCAUGCACUCCUCGUCAUGUUACUGCCCGUUCUUUUGUUCCUACUACAAGAUGCACAUGCCUACAAUGGUGUGGAAGAAAGAAGGAAUACCCUAGUGUGUAACAGAGACGAAGGACUAUGUAGACUUACGGAUCCCUGCAGGUGCAAUGGCCAUUUACGCUAUGGAAGGUAUUUGCAGGAUUGGUACCACUACGACCAAAGACGCCACCGGUGCAUUAGACGAGGUUUCGAGAAGAACUGUAACGGAUUUCCAUCACACAUUGCGUGCCAUGCAGCGUGCGUAACGCGGAUAGGUUAAUCCCGUACGGCAUUCUGAUUUCCUUAAAUUACUUGAAUAAUAAAGCGUUUCUUACGAAAG
rnacentral:lncRNA from 1 species